rnacentral:rRNA from 1 species
AGCGAACGCUGGCGGCAGGCCUAACACAUGCAAGUCGAACGAACUCGUCGGGGUUAGUGGCGGACGGGGGAGGAAGACGGGGGAAGGUGCCCGUUGGUUCGGUAUAACUCAGGGAAAGUUGUGCUAAUACCGAUUGUGCCCAUCGGGGGUAAGAUUUAUCGCUAUUAGAGCGGGGCUUGUCUGAUUCGCUAGUUGGUGAGGUAACGGCUCACCAAGGCGUCGUUGAGUAGCUGGUCGGAGAGGAUGACCAGCCACACUGGGACUGAGACCCGGCCCAGACUCCUACGGGAGGCAGCAGUGGGGAAUCUUGCGGAAUGGGCGAAAGCCUGACGCCGCCAUGCCGCGUGAAUGAGGAAGGUCUUAGGAUUGUAAAAUUCUUUCUCCGGGGACGAUAGUGACGGUACCCGGUGAAGAAGCCCCGGCUAACUUCGUG